CCUACGGGUGGCAGCAGUGGGGAAUAUUGGACAAUGGGCGAAAGCCUGAUCCAGCCAUGCCGCGUGUGUGAAGAAGGCCUUCGGGUUGUAAAGCACUUUCAGUGGGGAAGAAAGCCUUGGGGCUAAUACCCUCGAGGAAGGACAUCACCCACAGAAGAAGCACCGGCUAACUCCGUGCCAACAGCCGCGGUAAUACGGAGGGUGCGAGCGUUAAUCGGAAUUACUGGGCGUAAAGCGCGCGUAGGCGGUCUGAUAAGCCGGUUGUGAAAGCCCCGGGCUCAACCUGGGAACGGCAUCCGGAACUGUCAGGCUAGAGUGCAGGAGAGGAAGGUAGAAUUCCCGGUGUAGCGGUGAAAUGCGUAGAGAUCGGGAGGAAUACCAGUGGCGAAGGCGGCCUUCUGGACUGACACUGACGCUGAGGUGCGAAAGCGUGGGUAGCAAACAGGAUUAGAUACCCCUGUAGUC
rnacentral:rRNA from 1 species